rnacentral:lncRNA from 1 species
CGUCAAUCAUGAGAAUUCUGCGCCCUUUUCCCCAGGCUUCUUUGCAGUAAGAGUGUCCACUUGUUCCAGUUCUGUCCAAAGACAGCUAAGCAGAGGUCCGAAGUGGAGAUUCAUAUCAAGUAUUGCUUUUCUGAAAGGAGGGUCCAGAUGUGGCUGGCUCCUCACCCUCCCGCUUCCUGCCUGAAGUGUGAGUAUGUGAGGAUGCUAUCCAGAACCCUCCUGCCCCUUUAUUUCAGAAUCUGUCUCCUGCCAAGAAAUGGGAAACAGAGUCAUGAGUUCAGUUGGGAGGGCUGGCAAGGCUGGCUGGGAUCCAAGAGAGAGGGAAAGUCCACCCUGGCCACUCACCCAGAGGUUACUUGUAGCCUAGACCAGAGAGUCCAUGGCCAACUGGGCAGGACUGAGGAAAGGUCAGCCCCUCCUGACAAUUUGCCCAGUGGUUCCUGUUUACUGGUCCUGACAUUGACAUCUGGAGUAUGGGGGGGUAGACAGAGGUCCCUUCACUGUUGAGUCCUGGUGAUCAGCACUUUCCUAUGCCUCUCUCGGUUCCCCUGUUCUCCCAGUUCCAUCUAUAGUUACUCAAAAUAGUAGCUAAUCAAAAUAAUGUGGAAUGGAGGAUGGAUGAUGGAUGGAUGAAGGAAUGAAGGGGAAAUAUAGUUACGAGAGGCUUGUUUCCACACCUGUGAGCUGACAGCUGCUCUGCCAUUCUCAGCCAGGUAUUAUCAUGCCCAUUUAACAGAGGAGGAAACUGGAGCUCCGUAAGGCUAAUUGACUUUCCCAAGGUCAUAAGAAUUGGAGGAGAUAAGGCUAGGAUCCAAAGCCCAAUGCUGGUCCUAAUUCCUGGGCAGAGGCCUCUUCUGCCUCCCCUCCAGGACAUCAUCUCCAGGCCAUGGUAGGCUCAAUCUAUAGGGACAUAGGCAAAGUAUCUGCCAUGACCUCAGUGAAACAUGAAAGGAACUUUCUUUUUUUUUAAUUUUUUUUUUUUAGUUGUAGAUGGACACAAUACCUUUAUUUUAUUUUUAUAUGGUGCUGACGAUUGAACCCAGGGCCACCUGCAUGUGAGGGGAGCCCUCUACCACUGAGCUACAACCCCAGCCCAUGAAAGGAACUUUCCUGAUAUGAGCCUGGGCAGCUGCCAGGAACUGCCUCUGCAUCCCCCUCCCCUCCCCGUUCUGCUCUUGGGACCGCCAAGAACGCGUCACCUCCUUAGCAGGUGCUCAGUACAUAUUUGUAGAGUGAAUGAGUUGCCUUGUAUCAGUGCAAAUUCCUCAAGAAAAAGUCACAGGCGGCAAAAUCCCAAGAAAGCAGGUAAAAUUGACGUCACAUUUCUCAGCUUUGCAAUAGAUUGGAAUGUGCAUUCUGGUGGCAGAACAAGCCCCCUGCCAUGCUCACAAGCCCAACACAUUCAUCACCGCCAUCAGAAUAGAACAGUUAAUGUGCACACUUGCCAAUGCCACUCGCUAUUCCAAGCAUGUGAUGUAAAUCAUCUCAUUUCAGCAACCUGAUGAGGGAGGUGUCAUGGCUGUCCUCCUUAUAUGGCUAAGGAAUCCGAGGCUCAAAGAGGUGAAGGGACUUGACAAAGGCCACCCAGCUCUUUAGUGCCCUAUUCACAUUCAAAGCCAAAAAGAUUCAUGGUGGAUGGAGCUGUAGGACUGGGCUGGGGGACAAAUGCCCCUCUGGAAUCUGGACAGAGGAUGGUUCAGUAAAAGAGCUGAGGGGAAGAGAGGAGCAAGAUCCUGAAGCAGUGGUGGAUGAGGACAUAUCAUUUCAGCAGGCCUUUCCUUGUCCUGUGCCAGGCUCAGCCCUGGUGUGACCACUCAGCUGACAUGAUUGUGUGUGUGUUUUUGGGGGUGGGGGCAGUGGAUUGGAAGGAACCUGGCUGGGCUGUUGUGAUUGAGAUUCCCAUGGAGAUGCUGGUGACUCAUGUGCCCUUCCCAGCCAGCUGGGCCUCUAUCAGGGUGUGACUUAUAAUAAACAAGGUCAUAAAAUGCCAUUUGGCAUUUUGCCAGGCUGGAAGGAAGUGGAGAGAAGAGGAGAGAGAUUGAGGUGACCCUCUGUCUCCUGCUGGACCCAGGUCUCAUGGGGGCCCAGCAUCCUGGGCUCUCUAGAGUUCCUACUUGAUGUCCAGCCUCUGGGGUCAAAGGAAACUCUUCUUUGCCUAAGUGAAGCAAGUUGGAAAAGGUCACUCCUAGUACAUUCUGACCUCUUUUUUUCUGUAAUGUUCUAGGAACUCCAUUGCCCUUCUGUGGCUCCACAGUGCAGGUAUUCUUGCCUGGGCUAUGGCUCCUGCUGCCUAGAUGAUACCUUUUGGGGGACUUCUAAAAAACGUGCAUAGGUAAAGCAACCCACACACCAUUAACUGGCACCUACUCUAAGUCCGGCAGUGGAUGACUUGAAACAGAGUUCAACAAAGGUAUGUAGCCUUACCAAGUGACCAAAGAGGCCCGGAAUUCUUAGGCCAGAGGAGAAAACAGAGGAGGCACAUCCCAGCCCUGAAGGAACCUAAAACUUCACUCACAGUAAUAUCACAAUUAGCAGAACAAUUAGGUGUUAGGUUGUGAGACUUUCCCUGGGUGCUGUAGGAUUUUCAUGUUCUGCAGAUAAACAACAAAGCAUCUCAGAAGGAUUUGUCUGGAUUCUGGAGGCUGGAAGUGUGAAAUCAAGAUGGCCGCAGGGUUGGUUCCUUCUAAGCCUGUAAGGGGACUCUGUUGUCCUCAUCUGUACCUCUCCUCUAGCUUCUGGUGGUGUGCCGCAAUCUAAUGCCUUGUCUAUAUACUGCUGAAGAGAGAUUAAUAAGAUGCUUUAUAUCACCCAAUCUCUCUGCCUUCAGCUCACGCAGUAUUCUCAGAGUGUGUGUGUGUGCGCACAUGCACAUGUGUGUCCACAUUACUUUAUAGGGAUAUCAGUCAUGGGAAUAGGGGCCCAGCUCUACUCAUCUUAACUAAUCACACCUGGAAAGACCCUACUUCCAAAUAAGAUCACACUCAUUCUAAGAUGCUGGGGUUAGGGCUUCAAUAUAAUUUAUGGGGGCACAUUUUUCAACUCAAAACAGAUGGGGAACUGCCUCCCUCUCCAGGAGCCUCUUCUAAAUUUGGAUCACUUGUGCCAGCCUGGAGAUCACCAAAAAGUCCUCCUGAAAAUCACCUGCAAAUGCCUGGCCCAGCCCUGGGAGAGGUGCAAAGGGUAAGGGGCACCACAUUUCUUUUCUUGGAUCCCAGGUGUGAUCAGCCCCACCCUAGGUGAUGGUCUCUGUUAAUGAUAACCACCUGGAGAGCAAGAAAGAGAAAACUGAUAAAGGCCAGAAGGUUACAAAUAAUCCAAGAGGUGUGUGUGUGUGGGGGUGGGGACGGGGAUGCUUAGAAGACCUUUGCCCUCUGAAACUUUGAUUUACAAACUGCACAGCUAUCAGGUCACCCAGGGCUGUGGAGGCUAUGAAAAACGUCACCAGCUGAUAUAGCUCUCUGCUUGGCAGCCUGGGAAUUUCUAAUUCUGGGGAAGUAUGACUGUAACACUGUGGUCCAUCUCUCUUUCUUUCUGUCCCACAGCCCUUCAAUACCCUCUGGAGAGUGGGAGGGGAUCUGGUGGAGGCACUGUCCCUAUAAGUGGAGGGGAUGGGCUCAGGAGAAUUGUACUGUCCUCCAGAGCCCGUAGGUGACUGGUACUAAGCUCAGUCCCUUUAUAGUAGAUGUGACUUGGGAAAGUCACAGUGUUUAUUUAAGUCUCUGUUUUCUCAUCUGCACAAUAGGAAUGAGAAGGAAGGGUGACCCUGCCUGCCUUACCAGUUAUGGCAAGGAGCAAUCUAAGAGGUGUGACUCGGCCCGGGGAUGCAGAAGGACUAAGGUGGCACCAGGUCUCGUCAGCACAUUAGUUCCACCUCACUUGUCACAUAAACAUGAAGUCUGUUCAGGGCGAGGUGUCAGCUGCAGGGUGCUCACCACCCAGAGUGUGGUUCUGUGUGGGGCAACAUCAGCAUCCCUGAGAUCUUGUCCGAGAUGCUGACUCUCUGACCCAUCCCAGACCUGCUGAACCAGAAUCUGCACUUUAACAAGAGCCCCAAGAGAUCUGUGCACUCAUUAAAGUUCAAAAAGCUCUGCUUCAGUGGACAUUAUUUCUCUUG